AUUGAACGCUGGCGGCAUGCUUUACACAUGCAAGUCGAACGGUAACAGGUUAAGCUGACGAGUGGCGAACGGGUGAGUAAUGCAUCGGAACGUGCCCGAUCGUGGGGGAUAACGCAGCGAAAGCUGCGCUAAUACCGCAUACGAUCUGAGGAUGAAAGCGGGGGACCGUAAGGCCUCGCGCGAUCGGAGCGGCCGAUGUCAGAUUAGGUAGUUGGUGGGGUAAAGGCUCACCAAGCCAACGAUCUGUAGCUGGUCUGAGAGGACGACCAGCCACACUGGGACUGAGACACGGCCCAGACUCCUACGGGAGGCAGCAGUGGGGAAUUUUGGACAAUGGGCGAAAGCCUGAUCCAGCAAUGCCGCGUGCAGGAAGAAGGCCUUCGGGUUGUAAACUGCUUUUGUACGGAGCGAAAAGGCCCUCUCUAAUACAGGGGGCUCAUGACGGUACCGUAAGAAUAAGCACCGGCUAACUACGCGCCAGCCGCCGCGGUAACAC
rnacentral:rRNA from 1 species